rnacentral:lncRNA from 1 species
AAAGAGUGUGGGCAAUAACUGUUAGGUUAGCCCACAUAAUUUAGAAACUAAGUCACUGUAAUAUGCUUAAAGAAGCAACUAGACAAAGAGUUAUUCAUGCAUCGAUGUGCAUGUUAUCAAUAACUAUUAGAUGAGAUGCACGAUAUCGAUGGGACCGUAGCAUCUACUAGAAAUUCAGUCAUCGCAUUAAGAUUUUCGCUUCUCCAUCU